UCAGGCCUAACACAUGCAAGUCGAACGAGACCUUCGGGUCUAGUGGCGCACGGGUGCGUAACGCGUGGGAAUCUGCCCUUGGGUUCGGAAUAACUCAGAGAAAUUUGAGGUAAUACCGGAUGAUGACGAAAGUCCAAAGAUUUAUCGCCCAAGGAUGAGCCCGCGUAAGAUUAGCUUGUUGGUAGGGUAACGGCCUACCAAGGCGACGAUCUUUAGCUGGUCUGAGAGGAUGAUCAGCCACACUGGGACUGAGACACGGCCCAGACUCCUACGGGAGGCAG
rnacentral:rRNA from 1 species